UACGAAGGGGGCUAGCGUUGCUCGGAAUCACUGGCGUAAGGGUGCGUAGGCGGGUCUUUAAGUCAGGGGUGAAAUCCUGGAGCUCAACUCCAGAACUGCCUUUGAUACUGAAGAUCUUGAGUUCGGGAGAGGUGAGUGGAACUGCGAGUGUAGAGGUGAAAUUCGUAGAUAUUCGCAAGAACACCAGUGGCGAAGGCGGCUCACUGGCCCGAUACUGACGCUGAGGCACGAAAGCGUGGGGAGCAAACAGG
rnacentral:rRNA from 1 species